GGGGUUAUAGCUCAGUUGGUAGAGCACCUGCCUUUUAAGCAGAGGGUCGUAGGUUCGAUUCCUACCGGGCGCA
rnacentral:tRNA from 1 species